CUCCAAACCAGCCAGUUCGUUAGGGAGUUUUUGAAAUUAUUUCAUCAUGAGCAAAUAUCAAUUAACUAGUUUCUUGAUUGUCCUCUUGAACUUGGGCACUUUGGUCUCUUCUCUAGCUAAUGACCACUCAUAUAAUCCUCCUCCUCCUCCCCCCGUUACAAAACCACCACCCCCCCAAAAGUUGAAACCCACUCCUCCUCCUCCGGUUUUAAAACCACCACCGCCGGCGCCGCCAAAGCUGAAACCUCCUCCUCCUCCUCUAGUUGUAAAACCACCACCGCCGGCGACGCCAAAGGUGAAACCUCCUCCUCCUCCUCCAGUUGUAAAACCGCCGCCGCCGCCACCGCCAAAGGUGAAACCUCUUCCUCCUCCUCCAGUUGUAAAACCACCACCACCGCCGCCAAAGGUGAAACCUCCUCCUCCCCCUCCAGUUGUAAAACCACCACCACCACCAAAUGUGGGAUACCCACCGCCACCAACACAACAAACUUGUUCAAUUAAUGCUCUCAAGCUUGGUGCAUGCGUCGAUGUUCUUGGUGGUUUAAUUCACAUUGGUCUUGGC
rnacentral:lncRNA from 1 species